GGCGUCUUAGAAGCCCUUGCUCAGGAUUUCUGACAGAAGCAUCGUGAGCAGGCCGGGCCAUCCGCAGUGUGGAUCUAUUUCAGUGAAGAUGGGAAAGGCGCUUAGUGACGUCGCCUGGCCACCAGGCUGGGCUUCCCAAAAGCAUUGUGCCACAUUGAGAACUCAAGGUCCAUCCAUGCUGCUGAGACUGGGCAUGCAGUGAUGACAGAAGAAGUUUUUGUCUGAACUGUGGGCCACUUUUCCCUUCAUAAAGAGCGAUGGCUAAGUGCACACUUGCCCCCUUGCUUCCUGGUGAGGGGGUUGUGAUGAAGCAGCAGUCCACGUCCAUUGCCGUCACUUCCUGAAACUCACCUGUAAAGCAGGCUGAGUUCACUCUUCCUCCAUCAGUUAGUCAUAAAGAAUCCCCCAUGAGGCCAAGGAUGUGGACUGGGAAAACGGCGCUGAUACCACAGCAGUAAGUAACAUGGUAGUCACCGGACCAUGGAAUUUACCUUUUCAAGCAGAUUACUUCUGCUGGCAAGAUCUGCUUGAGUCUGGUACCAAAUGUACCUCUUUCACCCUUCAGUGGAUAGUUACCACACCAGCCUGGCCCUCUAACGCUAUGGAUAUAGUAACAUUUGGCUCAUGGACAGCUCAGGCCACAGGUGUUCCAAGGUCAGAUGUUAGUUUCCUCUGAGACCCAGUAGCACACAGGAGCUGUUUUUCCUGUAGGACAUGGUCUUGCUUAAGAACUGCACUGCAGAUCUCAUCUGGCACUGGCCCAGCACCCUUAUCUACCACAGGUCCCUCCUGUGCCAUCCAGCUUGCUGUACCAUGCAGUUCAAGUGGUGGGCAGCUUGUAGCACAGCCUGUACCUGCUGCAGAUUCUUCUCUUCCUCUGGCAGCUUUCUGAUCCCCCAGAUAGAUACAUUUAAGGAGUUUUUCCAAGUGCUAAGUACUGCAUUAAAAUCUGGAUCAUUCCAGGAGUUCCUGUUGUGGCUCAGUGGUUAAUGAACCUGACUAGUAUCCUUGAGGACGUGGGCUUGAUCCCGCCGGGGAUCGAACCCAAAGCCUCAUGGAAACUAGCCUGAGUUCGUAACCUGUUGAGCCACAACAGGAACUCCACCAAUGAGUUGUUCUAUAGAAUGACACAACAUUCUGCAAAAUGUGAAAUUCCCCGAGGACUAUAUUUUGAUUGGAGAAUUAACAGAGCUCUAAAGCUAUUCUGGUUCAAGGUAUAUUGCAGUCAGAAUUACUUUUGAUUCUGUCUCUAAUGGAUAUUGAAAGAAAAAAAAGCAUUUAUCACCUCGGUAGUAACAUACUAAAGACUGGGGUCCAUUCUGACCUGCUUUGGUAAAGCUCUCAGCCCAUCAUUUGGCACUGAGGCUAAGGCUUGGUUAGUUUCCCUAUGUGCUAUUGGCCCCUAACACUAUGCACCUGGAUUCUAGAGGCCAGUCCAGUGCCUUGGCAGAUAGGAUGUGGAUCACUAUUCCUGCCUUUUUCGAGUCUUUGGUUGUGGCACUAGUCUCUUCAGUUCCUUCAGGAGUGCAGAAACACUUACUGUUUGUUAUCUUGUCCAGGAAAGGAGGCAGUUUCAGGGGCUGCUUUUGGCCUUUAUUUCCAUAAUGGCUCUUACUCCACAGGUCAGGAAGCAGAUGUGGGGUGUUGCUUGCAGCUAAGUCUCUCUAUCCCAUUUACACACUUAGUUAUGGGUGAAGUGACCACAGUGUGGGUCAAGGGCCUUAUUAGGCCCAUUGUGACUCAGGCUAAAAUUGCCCUUGUCACAUGGUUUCGUAAGCCCUCACUCUGACCAGAGGAGCAUGGUGGCCUGUUUUAGGUUCCUUGGUAUUAGCGUCAGAUCAGACCCUGAAAUUAACAGUUUUAGAAAUUUCUGGAUUUCCCCCCUUUUCAAAGGCUUAGUUUCCCAGGCAAAUGGUCACCAGCCUCUGGGGGAAGAAUCGGAGGUGUGUUUUCCACAUAGGCUUGCAGAACUGGUGUUGCAGACUCCUUCCUAAGGGAGACCUGGCCUACUCUCCAGUCUGCCUCCCCCUCCCCAUCCUGACCUCCAGAAUGUGAACCCCAUGCCAGGACAUACCUCAGGUUGGGCAGGGAUAAACAGGCCCUGUUCUGGGAAGUAACAGACUGUGCAGCAAAGAAGUUGUAGGACUUGGUUAAUAUAUACUUUGGAUGUGGAGCAAUGGGUCUGUGAAUGGACUUAAAUCUGGAAAACGGAUGAAUGGACUGUGCUUUUCCACUGUGGUCGCCAUCAGCCUUCUGCUCAAAAGCUCUUGUGUGUAUCACUGUGUGUGUGUGUAGUUUUGAUUAUACAGAUCAAGCAACACCCUAGUCAGGUGCCAAUCCAUCUUGUCCCCUGGAACAGCAUGAUCUUUUACCUGUCACCAAAGAUCACUGUCAGUCAAAGGCACACAAGUGCUGCUCCAGCCACUAUGCGUGUAUGGUAAUUAUGCCCAACUUGCUUCUGGUUGGGCAGUGCUGCUUCCCUGCCUAGGCCAUCCCAGAUCCCCUUUAUAUUAGGGAUCUUGGUUCCAUGGCAGCAGGUGCAUGGCAACUCCUGCCUACAAGGAUGGCCUCCACAAAACAUCUGGAUGAUUCUUGCACCCACCUCCUCAGGGCAUUUCCUCUUGACUUAUUAAAGGAAGUGUCCAUUGAGCUCUCAGGGAAUUUAAUCACAAGGGGAGUCUCAGGUCUUUUAGUCCAUCCAUUCUAACAAUUCCAUGUUUCUGAACUUUUUGACCUUUUCUUUAGAAUGAUGCCAAGGAACUUCUAGUAUCUUCACCCCUUUAUCUGUAGGCCAUCAUUGUGCCCUUGUUUCUGGGACUCACCCAGCAUUGUGUUAGGACUGGCUUUGGGUGUCCUUAUCAGCUCAUUGAAUCCUGAGUCUCAGGUGAGUGCCCUCCUGCCAAUCACUGUCCCCAUCUGUCCUUUCACUCCACCUUGUGGUCUGUCACCUUCAAGGUUCACUCUUGCACAUACCCCAAGUCCUACAGUUCCUUUGGUGUACAGUCUGUUAUCUCCUAGAAUAGACCCUGGAUAGCCCUGCCCACAUGGUAGCAAGUCCUAGCACUGGUUAGUGGUACAUGGGGACAGAUCCCAAAGAGGAGAAAUGCUAUUUGCCACCCACCUGACUCAGGUAAGAUCAGUACAACAUCUCGAGGUAAGUUGAUGGGAGGAGGGAAGGAGGGAAUUCUUCUUUUGGCCUAAAGCCUCCAAGAUUCUCAGGCUUAACCUCAGAGAUGUCCCCAUCCCAGAUUUCCUCCUCCCACUCUUUCCCAGGAGGGCUCUGAUUCUGACACAGGAGGCAUGUUUAAGCAAUACAUUUAAUUAGCCAGUCUGACACAUGUGAAAAUCAUACCCUAGGCCUGAUUUUUAGCACCGUCUGUUUGGCAGUCGUAGGAGAUGAGUGUCUCUUUUAAAAUGAUAGAGGGUCCUAACACUUUUGGAACAUGCCUUAGGCUGGCAAUUAGCUGCCCUGAUUUAAUUUACUUUUUGCAAGGUUUCAAAUGUCUUCCCAAAUAACUGUUUGACACUACCGUCAUUACAGUUAUCAUUGUCCUCUCAAUCAAUUGAUGCAGCCGUUUGACCUUCCAAUGUCUUGCACUUUACUGGCACCUCAUCUCAAUCAACUGCAGAUGAACGCUUAACUAAUUGUGAUGUUCAUGUCUGCCAGGGGUUAAUACCAUCCCAGUUAUCACCAGCAGGAAGGCAUCAAGAGCUGUAAAGAGUAAGACUAUAUUCUAGUUGCUUUGCUUUUUUAAAUUUUAUUUUUUAAAUUAAAGUGGAGUUGAUUUAUAAUAUUGUACCAAUUUCUUCUGUAGAGCAGUGUGACCCAGUCAUUUAUACACACGCACACAUAUUCCCUUUCUUACAUUAUCUUCCAUCAUGUUCUAUCCCAAGAAAUUGGAUAUAGUUCCCUGUGCUGUAUAGUAGGACCUCAUUGCUUACCCAUUCUAAAUGUAAUAGUUUGUAUCAACCAACUCCCAAACUCCCAGUGCAUCUAAUUCCCUUUCCCCUCUUGGCAACCACAAGUCUGUUCUCCAUGUCUUUGAAUAGUCUGUUUCUGUUUUGUAGAUAGGUUCAUCUGUGUCAUAUUUUAGAUUCUACAUAUAGGUGAUAUCAUUUGUCUUUCUCUUUCUGGCUAACUUCAUUUAGCAUGAUAAUUUCUAUUGCAUUAAUGCUGCUACAAAUGGCAUUAUUUUGUUCUUUUUAAUGGGUGAAUAGUAUUCCAUUGUAUAUGUUUACCACUUCUUCUCAAUCCAUUCAUCUGUUGAUGGAUGUUUAGGUUGCUUCUAAUUGCAAACCAACCACUUCACCUGCCACAGCUGCACAUAUGCUGGCAGAAGACAAAGUCCUCUAUCUCUGACCCAGUAGGGACAUUUUGACUGUAAGAAACCCAUGGAGAAUUGUCUCCCAGCAGUGAGCAUUCCAAUUCAAAAUCUUAGACUGAAGGUCUCCUGGUCCCCACAUUUUCUAGCUUAAUGUCUCUAGAAAACAAAGCCUGAGGCAAAGUUUAUAUCUUUUUUUUUUUUUUGAGGAAUAUAAUUCCACCGUGACUGUGGGGGAAAGAAAUGAGGUGGAGAUGAAGGGAAAGCUUAUGAUGAUUUAUCAAGCUGACCAUGAUGUCACAAACCAAACCAAACAAAUGUAGUCACUUUUUCCGUUGUGUAGGAUAGGCCAUUAUGCUUUAUAACAGCCAUUGCUGGAUAGGAAGGAGAGGGUGAAUUUGUCAGGUGCUUUCCAUAGAGGCAUGGCUAUCUUACCCUUCUCAGCUAUUCCUGCCAGCCUCUGGGGAAGUAAGAUUCCACACCUCAAGUUUGAUUCUGGGUUGUUAGGAAGAACCGCAUUAGUACUAUAUUAAGUAAUAAUAAUGCCUGCAUUACCUAUUUUGAAAGAUUCUGUAAGGGAGAAAAAGCUUUGAAAAAGUCUGCUGUAGAAAAGCUAGUUAUUGUGUGCUUAAAGAUGUCUUGAACUUGAAUCAGAAGAGAAAGAGGAAAGACUCAAACGUGAGUUUGUGGUGUAGGUAGUAGAGACAAAGAUGAGGCAUGGGGAAGGUCCUUAGGGAGAGCAUCCAGCAGGAGCAAAGGACAGGAGUUCCCUGGUGGCUUAGCAGUUAAGGAUCUGCUGUUGUCACUGCUAUGGUGCAGGUUUGAUCCCCAGCCUGGGAACUUCUGCAUGCUGGGGGUGUGGCCAAAUUAAAAAAAAAAAAAAAAA
ensembl:lncRNA